rnacentral:pre_miRNA from 1 species
UUGUCCAAUGAGUUAGUCCUUCACAUCAGGUGGCCAAAGUAUUGGAGUUUCAGC